CCGGGGUCUUCAUGCCCACAUCCAUCCCAACUUCGGGCAUCCGCGCCAUUGUCUCUGGUUUUCAGGACACAGCAUCUCCCAAAGACAAAACCCUGUGUUACUCCACUUUUUCUUACAGAAGGAAUUCCACCUCUUUCAUCUCCCCAGCACAGAUGGCACCACACGUGGACUUUAACAAGAAUGUAGGGGAGGUUCAAGGUCAGCAGAGAGAUGGCCCCCUGGGUCACAGUCACUCCUGGAACCGGGCACUUAGACACCCAGCUCCCACCAGACCUCAGCAUCCCUGCCCAGCCCGGGACACCCAGCUGGGGGCAGCCACCUCUGUCUCCAUCAGCAAAUAUCUCAGUGGCUCUGAACCUACGCGUCCCAGAGAGAGCUCCCCAAACUUGCCCCACGCUCACCCCGAUGAGAGCAGCCACAGCUAUUUCCUCCAGGGUGGACCCUGGGGCCCACCCUCUACCAUCAAAUUCAGAAGGCCUGGACCAAACAAGGACAGUAAUUCACAGAGCAAUACCCGAAGUCUGACGGAUUCAGUUCUAAGUAACACCAUAUGUGGGACCCACCAGCUGGAUCCCAGAAACUGUGCUGAGUCCAAUUCCAUUGUCUGGGUCCCACACACAGGCAAAAAACACCAGGCCUGCUGGGCUCACACCAGGGUCCAGGUUUCCUACUUACCAUGUAAGUGCUUAGAAAAGAACACACACACACACACACACACACACACACACCAGGAACUAGAAAGGAUCUGCAGACACAGAGCAUUGAAGCCACGAUUCAAAGGGGAGGAAGAACAUUGUAAACCAUUCUGCAUUAAUCGCAGCCUAGGUAAAGUCUGCAGUUUUCAUGACUGGGUGAACUGCGAUCCCCCAGCACGACACACGGGCCCUCACGUGAUGCUGGGCAUUCAGGGCUGUCCAGAAAUGGCCCACCUGCCCUUCCACACCCACUCCGCUCCCCACCGUCUGUGUUCUCCGAUCCCCUGACCUGUUUGGUGUACAUAGGUCACAGAACUCCAGCUGGGCUUGGCCAAUGAGGAGUCCGGAGGGAGCCUGGGAAGAAAGGCAGGAUCUUUAUCCCUGCAGCUCCCUCCCUGUGGGUCCCCCGAACUGCCUGUGCCCCUUUAUCCUCCAAAAGCCAUCCUCUCAGCGUGAUGCUCAGUCAUGUCCGACUCUUUGAG
rnacentral:lncRNA from 1 species